rnacentral:rRNA from 1 species
CCUACGGGUGGCAGCAGUGAGGAAUAUUGGUCAAUGGGCGGAAGCCUGAACCAGCCAAGUAGCGUGCAGGAUGACGGCCCUAUGGGUUGUAAACUGCUUUUAUACGGGAAUAACGCGCCUUACGUGUAGGGCUUUGCAUGUACCGUAUGAAUAAGGACCGGCUAAUUCCGUGCCAGCAGCCGCGGUAAUACGGAGGGUCCGGGCGUUAUCCGGAUUUAUUGGGUUUAAAGGGUGCGUAGGCCGCAUGUUAAGUGUGCUGUGAAAGGUCCGGGCUCAACCCGGGCCUUGCAGUGCAAACUGGCGUGCGUGAGUCCGCGGAAGGCAGGCGGAAUUCGUGGUGUAGCGGUGAAAUGCUUAGAUAUGACGAAGAACCCCGAUUGCGAAGGCAGCUUGCUGCAGCGGAACUGACGCUGAUGCUCGAAAGCGCGGGUAUCGAACAGGAUUAGAUACCCCAGUAGUC